UGAACACAUUUGCCUCCCAGUAGGAUCAGAGUUCUCUUUUCCGGUAGGGGAGUUUCAGUUUUCUGCCUACUUGGCAGGUGUAAAGUGUCUAUGCUUUGAGUAUCCUGAGCCAGUCCUCUUCUGGCUGUGCUGGGUGGAGAUUAUAACAGAACAUGGCCAAGAUGUUCAAACUAUCAUGGAUGACCAGCAGAGUCUAAUAAUAAUAAUCACCACAGCGUUUGUAGAGAGUGCAACAGGUCAGCAACUAAGGAAUAAAUGUCAGUUGGCCUUACAUAGCCGAGCAUUCAUAGUUAGAGACUUUUAGGCCCUGGGUCUCCCAUCCCACUAAACCCUGAGUUAUCUAUUCCUCUAGGUGUGCAGUCCCUGCUCCUAGCCAGUUCGCAGCCCCCAGCCCCAGCGGGCGCCCAGUCGCCUAUACUAGCGCUAGGCUACAAGUUCCCUGCUUAGAUAGGUUUGCAGCCUCCCACCAUACCUGGCUUGCAGUCCUCAGCUUUAGGGGAUGACAGUUCAGGGGAAUUACUGCUGAAUUUCCUGCCCUGCUAGGCCCUCAGCCCCCUGACCUGGGGGACCCACGUUGCCUUUCUCCAGUUCUGGAGGGCCACCUGGCUCCUGCAUUGGAAGACCCUCCUGCAUUGCACCUGUGUAACCACCUGACCUUAUCUCUGGGGACCAGCCGGCCCCUGCAUCUAGAUCCCCGAGGAGCCUUGCCUAUGGGUCCCUACCUGCUCCACCAUGCGAGCCAUCGCCUUCAGCAGUGAAACCACAAGAUUUCUACUUUGAUAUUAGUGUACCCAUAUAUGGAGUUCCUGCUCUGGGGCCAUUACCGUACAGAAGACAAAGCCCAUAUAUGGAAAUCCUGCUGCAGAUUAAGACCUGUGGUCUGAAGCUUCAAGCUCUCCUGCAUUAUAAGCAACACGUUCAGUGUGGUUGAGUUAUGCAAAUUGUGUGCAGAGCUGAUAACUGUGGUUUCCUUUUUUCAGCGAGUUGUGUUUGGGUGGAGGGGUUCUUGUCAGACAGCCUGUAGCAAGUCAGAACCUUAAAAAAAAGCAAGGCACUUAACCCUAAUCUAGUCACACUGAUUGAAGACAUUUAAUGUUGAGCUUAAUGUAAAAAUAUACAUUUUUUAAAAAGGAACUCUAUAAACCAGUACUUUUUUUGGUUCAAACUUAAUUUUGCUGGUUGGAACGGGGGAAAAAAACAGUUAUGUUCAGAAACGAUUUGAAAAUGAUUUCGGUUCCAACCUCCGUACAACUGUUGGUUGAUUAAACAAGAUGAUUCAGGUGAGUGAGGCGGGCUUGUGACUAAUGAAGAUUGGAUGCAGGUCAGCAAAUCGGCAUGGUCAUUGCUCUAUGACCAUAUAUGGAGUCCCUUCAUAAUGAUCGCAUGGCAAUGCGAAUGUCGGUGCCCAUGUACUGAGUUCCUGCUUCUGGCAAGAAAUGCAUAUUGCGAGCAGAGCUGGUCACUGUGGUUUCCUUUUUUCAGCAAGCUGUAAAGUGACACAUCACUCAUAAAUUGUGGGUUUUGUGUUUGUCGCAGUGGCGACAAAGGGUGGAAUGAUGACUGAUAAGUUUACAGGAUGUGGGGGCCUGUUUCUUUUUCUUAACCACAAUGUAUCUACUCAUUGUAUCCCAUUGAUUUAUGGUGUUGAAGGUAAUGUUGCUGUUGUGAAGUAUCUUCAUCACUUGUUGUUAUCUAUAGCACGGCAGGAUACUUUUGUUCCAGUCCAGCUCCUUGGUAAAACACUCCUUCAAACUA